rnacentral:sRNA from 1 species
GGAGGUGAUGGCUGGGGUUCCCAAAGCCAGACCCCCAGAGUCACCUUCUCUGCACGGUGCCCUUUAGGCGUCUGCGUCCUGCACAACUGUAUCUAUGCUGCUGGGGGCUAUGAUGGUCAGGACCAGCUGAACAGCGUGGAGCGCUACGACGUGGAAACAGAGACGUGGACUUUCGUAGCCCCCAUGAAGCACCGGCGAAGUGCCCUGGGGAUCACUGUCCACCAGGGGAGAAUCUACGUCCUUGGAGGCUAUGAUGGUCACACGUUCCUGGACAGUGUGGAGUGUUACGACCCAGAUACAGACACCUGGAGCGAGGUGACCAGAAUGACAUCGGGCCGGAGUGGGGUGGGCGUGGCUGUCACCAUGGAGCCCUGCCGGAAGCAGAUUGACCAGCAGAACUGUACCUGUUGAAGCACUUUUGUUUCUUGGGCAAAAAUACAGUCCAAUGGGA